rnacentral:lncRNA from 1 species
GUAUGACUUUUAGGAAUAUAAAGAUUAAUCUGAGUUUAGAAUAGGAUUAAGGAAGAGAAUAAGAGAUUUACGAAACUGAUUAGAGACUAAUGGAGAAUCAUGAUGAAAUGAGUAAAGAGAAAGAUUGUUUAGAACUGUCUAAUCUUUAUUAAUGAUCUUGAGUUACAAUAUAUAGUAAGGAGAGCUUAGGGUUUCGAUCACAAAAGGAUAAGGAAAGCAUGUGAAGUCAAAAGGAGGAGGAGCCUAUAUUUGAAUCCGGCCAAUGAGCUUCUCCAAGUGUGUGAGGCAUCUAGCAUCUUCCCAUAGAUGCUGUUUACUUUCCAGUCCAUGCCAGACUGUCAGUCCGCGCCUAAUCCCUUCUUCCUCCGCGGUCUUAUCCACUCCAAAGCUUAUCCUCCUCUCCACUAAGUUACCUUGGUAACUUAUCUUUACCUUGGUGAGUUUGGUUGAUGUCCUAUGUACGGAUGGUACGGCCUGUACGGCCUUGUACGGAUCACUCAACCCAAACUCAUCUCUUCUUUCAUACUUCAUCUCUUCCUCUAAUGCCUUAACUCCCUUAGCUCCUCUUCUCAUAUACUUAACUCUGAUCAACACUCCCCCUCAAGCUUAGCUUUGUGAAAGUCUAAGCUUGGACAGCUAUGAGAUCUUCCUCAUUAAAAACCUUAC